rnacentral:rRNA from 1 species
AGUGAACGCUGGCGGUAGGCCUAACACAUGCAAGUCGAACGGCAGCACAGUAAGAGCUUGCUCUUACGGGUGGCGAGUGGCGGACGGGUGAGGAAUACAUCGGAAUCUACUUUUUCGUGGGGGAUAACGUAGGGAAACUUACGCUAAUACCGCAUACGACCUACGGGUGAAAGCAGGGGAUCUUCGGACCUUGCGCGAUUGAAUGAGCCGAUGUCGGAUUAGCUAGUUGGCGGGGUAAAGGCCCACCAAGGCGACGAUCCGUAGCUGGUCUGAGAGGAUGAUCAGCCACACUGGAACUGAGACACGGUCAAGACUCCUACGGGAGGCAGCAGUGGGGAAUAUUGGACAAUGGGCGCAAGCCUGAUCCAGCCAUACCGCGUGGGUGAAGAAGGCCUUCGGGUUGUAAAGCCCUUUUGUUGGGAAAGAAAAGCAGCAGGUUAAUACCCCGCUGUUCUGACGGUACCCAAAGAAUAAGCACCGGCUAACUUAGUG